ACCACGUUAUUUCGACGGAAAGUAUCCGUAUAUCCAUGUAUGGUUGUACAGAUGUAUUAUGUACGGAAGUUUUCCGUUUUUGCAGCUAAUUUUUUAAAUACGGAACUUUCCGUUGUAUUAAGAACUGCAGUUCUGCAUGCAGUUAACACGUUAAACCGCCAUUAGUUGUGAUUUUUCAAAAAUAUUUUUGGGCUCACAUUUUUUGGGCACACAUUGCCUCCAAAAAGAAAUAGAUUUAUUUAUAAAAAUUGACAAUUGCAUCUCCUUCGAUUAUUUACGAAAAAGUUGUAAUGGUUUCAUAAAAAGCUAAGUUUAGCUAUGCGUAUAUUGCUAAAAAUAUCCUUGUUGCAACAAGGAUUUUUUAUAACGUUUGCAAUAGUAAAAAAUGUUUGCAACAACGUUUAAAAUAGAAUAUAGUCAAAAAACUAUAUUCUAUUUUUAUUUUCCUUGAUAUUUGCUGUUCAUUAUGUAAUGAAUAUGCAAUAUCAUCCAAAUGUUUUUGCUUCAUUAGAGUUUAUUCAAAGAUACAUGGUCGACUACAAUCCUGAUAAAGGGAAAAGAAAUGCUAAAGGAAAGAAAAAAGGAGCACUCAUUUGCCCACGCAUUGUCACGUUAAUUCGAGAAUUAAAUAGUUUUGGUUUGAACUCUGUUUGAAUAAAAGUUUUUAGAAUUAGUAGUUAUAAAAAAAAUAGUUAAUAAUCAAGAGAGGUCUGGUUUCGUAACAAAGAUUUACCAAAUUCAUCAACGUAAUAUUUCUGCUUUACAUCUGACUACAAUGAUUAUUUUUAUUGGCAUUUAGCACCAACAAUGGCAAAAAAUUGGCCUUACGUAAAUCAUUCAUUUAGAGAAACAACUUUAAGUUGACUCGAUAUGAAAAAGAAAGGAAUAAACCUUGUUUUUGUGUAUUUGGAUUGAUUUUUUUAUAAUUUACGAAAUAUAUUUUAAUAUAUUUAAA
rnacentral:lncRNA from 1 species